rnacentral:lncRNA from 1 species
AGGCCUAAUCACAUCGGGGACUCGAGGCCUCCCUUCCAGGCUUGGCAGGCAGAGUAUCUCAAGAUGAAGAGAAAGACAUUUUCCCUUGCAUGCUGGCCGCUGUUUCAUCUUCUACUACUCUUAGGAAACGCUGUAACUUCUAAUGCUAACACUACAGCCACCACCCUUGGACAAACCACAUCACCCAGGGGAACUAACACAACAGCUAUAACCUCCAGUGGGAACAUCACGACCACCUCCCUCGGACCAACCACACCAUCCAGGGGAACUAACACAACAGCUAUAACCUCCAGUGGGAACAUCACGACCACCUCCCUCGGACCAACCACACCGUCCAGGGAAACUAACACAACGGCUAUAACCUCCAGUGACACCAGCACAAGUACUGCCCCUCCAAGGAAAGAGGAGAACCUUAGCGGACAACUGACACCAUGGGAAGUUGUUCUGGUCACUCUGGCCUCGGUUGCAAUGGCUGUGAUUCUCGUCACCGGGCUUCUCUUCCAUUUCAGAAACUCUCCAGGCCUCAGAAACCUCUUCGAUGUUAAUCUCUUACCAACUGCAUGGCCAAGCCCCUACGGGACCAGGGCAACUGCAACUGACUUCAGAGGAGACCCUUCUCCCGUAGUCAUGGAGCUGACUGGGAGGCGGGAAUAGCACUGAGCUCCCUGAAGGCAGACGCAUCACCAAUGUGUGGGGGUAGGGGGCUGACCUGGGGGAGCCUGAGUAUUCCUCCUGUCCGAAGGACUGUCCCUCCCAGCUCCAUUUCAGCCUCUGACUGUCCUCCUUCCCACUUGGUUUUUCCAGACCAAAACAAGGAGGCUGUAGCUGUGAACGAAUUAU